UGAAAAGCUGUUCUUGACUAAUCACAACGCAGGUAGAGCAUAAUGUCUAAAGUGAGCUAUGGAUGCUGUUCUUAUGUAGGAAGCUGCGGGAUGUGAUUCACCAUGCAGAUCAGGAAGUUUUCUGCACAUCACAUCUGUUGCUGUUUCUUGUAAAGCAUGACAAUUUCCCAUACUGCGUGAGCUUUUCCACAGGUGUCUCCUCUCAGCUGUCUGCUUUAGUGAUGAGUGGCUCAGACACCCAGUGUUAUCAAGCAAUGCUCUGAGUGUCUCUGCAGUCCUCGAUCUGACAGCUUGAUACAGGGGAACCACAACAAAGAAGCUGACACCAAAGGGAAAAGAAAUACGAGAUUUCCACAUAUUUAUAUGAUGUCUGGGAAAGCAGAGGAGGAGCAGGGCAGCAAAGGAGUGAGGGGCUGACUCAUCUUGGAUGAACAGUUCAAUGAAGCUCUGGUGUUUACAAAAUGUGUCAGAUGGAUAAUGUUCACUAAUGAAGGGGUAUAUUAAAGAAUGGCAAUUCUUCCCAGUUUUAUGAUGUUUUAAUGGUACUG